UAUUUGCUGUGAUGAAUCAAAAGGACGGUAUCUGAGAAUGGUGUCCCUUUAGAAAGUGAUCCUUCCUUGAUUAUACACCCUGAACUGAUCAAAUACUAUGAGCAAAUG